UGGGGAAUUGUUCACAAUGGGCGCAAGCCUGAUGACGCAACGCCGCGUGGAGGAUGAAGACCUUCGGGUCGUAAACUCCUUUCGACCGAGAUGAAGAGCCUCCGACCUAAUACGUCGGAGGCCUGACAGUAUCGAGGGAAGAAGCCCCGGCUAACUCUGUGCCAGCAGCCGCGGUAAUACAGGGGGGGCAAGCGUUGUUCGGAAUUACUGGGCGUAAAGGGUUCGUAGGUGGCUUACUAAGUCAGACGUGAAAUCCCUCAGCUUAACUGGGGAACUGCGUCUGAUACUGGAAAGCUUGAGUGCAGGAGAGGAACGCGGAAUUCCAGGUGUAGCGGUGAAAUGCGUAGAUAUCUGGAGGAACACCGGUGGCGAAGGCGGCGUUCUGGACUGCAACUGACACUGAUGAACGAAAGCCAGGGGAGCAAACGG
rnacentral:rRNA from 1 species